rnacentral:tRNA from 1 species
GUGCCCGUAGCUCAGCCGGACAGAGCACCCGUCUACGAAGCGGGAGGCCGGAGGUUCGAUCCCUCCCGGGCACACCA